rnacentral:rRNA from 1 species
GACUCCAUGAAGUCGGAAUCGCUAGUAAUCGUGGAUCAGAAUGCCACGGUGAAUACGUUCCCGGGCCUUGUACACACCGCCCGUCACACCAUGGGAGUGGGCUGCAAAAGAAGUAGGUAGUUUAACCUUCGGGGGGACGCUUACCACUUUGUGGUUCAUGACUGGGGUGAAGUCGUAACAAGGUAGCGCUAGGGGAACCUGGCGCUGGAUCACCUCCUUAAACGAUGAU